GGGUGUAGCUCAGCGGUAGAGCGCUUACCUAGUGUACACAGGCCCUGGGUUCCAUUCCCAGCAACACCCA
rnacentral:tRNA from 1 species